UUAAGGAAUGGGGACACACUGGAUGUCAACACGAUAAAGAUGUAGGAAUUUCAUGUGCAACCCAAAUAAGAUUAACAAAUGGCAAGUCUCCAUCUGAGGGCAGAGUAGAGGUUUAUCACAACGGUACAUGGGGAUCUAUCUGUGAUGACAUGUUUGAUAUCAGUGAUGCACAGGUUGUGUGUAGAACACUUGGAUUAUCGACAUCUUAUCCAACAGUGUACAAAAAGAGUCCGUUUGGAUCAAGUAAUAUACCUAUACUAAUGGAUGACCUUGAGUGUAGAGGUGAUGAAACAGAUAUAGCUGCCUGUCAUUUUAGAGGCUGGGGAAUAUCUAACUGUGAUUACACAGAAGCUGUGGCUUU